rnacentral:rRNA from 1 species
CUACGGGGCGCUCCAGUGAGGAAUAUUGCACAAUGGGGGGAACCCUGAUGCAGCAACGCCGCGUGGAGGAUGACGCACUUCGGUGUGUAAACUCCUUUUAUAUGUCAAGAAAAUGACGGUAGCAUAUGAAUAAGCACCGGCUAACUCCGUGCCAGCAGCCGCGGUAAUAGGGAGGGUGCAAGCGUUACUCGGAAUCACUGGGCGUAAAGGACGCGUAGGCGGGUUGGAAAGUCAGGUGUGAAAUCCUACAGCUUAACUGUAGAACUGCACUUGAAACUUCUAAUCUAGAGUAUGGGAGGGGGAGAUGGAAUUAGUGGUGUAGGGGUAAAAUCCGUAGAUAUCACUAGGAAUACCUAAAGCGAAGGCGAUCUCCUGGAACAUUACUGACGCUAAGGCGUGAAAGCGUGGGGAGCAAACAGGAUUAAUACCCUGGUAGUC